AGUCGAGCGAGCGGAACUAACAGAUUUACUUCGGUAAUGACGUUAGGAAAGCGAGCGGCGGAUGGGUGAGUAACACGUGGGGAAUCUGCCCCAUAGUCUGGGACACCACUUGGAAACAGGUGCUAAUACCGGAUAAGAAAGCAGAUCGCAUGAUCAGCUUUUAAAAGGCGGCGUAAGCUGUCGCUAUGGGAUGGCCCCGCGGUGCAUUAGCUAGUUGGUAAGGUAAAGGCUUACCAAGGCGAUGAUGCAUAGCCGAGUUGAGAGACUGAUCGGCCACAUUGGGACUGAGACACGGCCCAAACUCCUACGGGAGGCAGCAGUAGGGAAUCUUCCACAAUGGACGCAAGUCUGAUGGAGCAACGCCGCGUGAGUGAAGAGGGUUUUCGGAUCGUAAAGCUCUGUUGUUGGUGAAGAAGGAUAGAGGUAGUAACUGGCCUUUAUUUGACGGUAAUCAACCAGAAAGUCACGGCUAACUACGUGCCAGCAGCCGCGGUAAUACGUAGGUGGCAAGCGUUGUCCGGAUUUAUUGGGCGUAAAGCGAGCGCAGGCGGAAGAAUAAGUCUGAUGUGAAAGCCCUCGGCUUAACCGAGGAACUGCAUCGGAAACUGUUUUUCUUGAGUGCAGAAGAGGAGAGUGGAACUCCAUGUGUAGCGGUGGAAUGCGUAGAUAUAUGGAAGAACACCAGUGGCGAAGGCGGCUCUCUGGUCUGCAACUGACGCUGAGGCUCGAAAGCAUGGGUAGCGAACAGGAUUAGAUACCCUGGUAGUCCAUGCCGUANACGAUGAGUGCUAAGUGUUGGGAGGUUUCCGCCUCUCAGUGCUGCAGCUAACGCAUUA
rnacentral:rRNA from 1 species